GUACUAAAAUAAAUGUCGAAACAAUACUGUCUAAUCUAAAAAAUCAAUGAAUUAUUUAUCUUUUUCUACCUAUUUUACCCUUACUAUUUAUCACUUAAUAUAUUUUUCAAGACAUGAAAUUUGUUAUAGUGUGCGGCGACAUCAAGUAGUGUUGAAUGAUGCAUUUGCCAUUGUUUUUUUUUUUCUCUAUUUGACCCUUUAUCUUCCUCAUCGUGAGGGGGACUUGAUUGAGAUCUUUUUAGCUGAAGAUAGAAACUUUUGAUGAUGUAGGCAUAUUAAUUCUACUUUUUUGGAGGGCAUUUAAUAAUUGAGUAUCGUUCUGUGAUAGUUUUUGAUGAAAUUCUGGCACAAUAGAUCCUUGUGGUAUGGUCCUUCUCGGGACCUGCACAUAGCGGUAGAUUUAGUGCACUGGGCUGCCCUUUUAUCUUUUGCAUAAAUGGCAACGAGCGAGGCAGGGUAGAGAGGAAGGGGUUUAGGAGGAUGGCUCAGGAGAGCACUCAAUAGGGCAAAAUUGUGGGAAAAAACUAAAUAGUGCCGGGGGCGGGCUCAAACUAUAGCAAGUUAAGGUGUGCCCUUCCCUGUCCUCCUCACCACCGUGCCUCAUUCGCAUCCUUAUUUUUGCUAAGUACUUGUGCUUUUUGUCCAUGGUAGUAUUUUAUUGUGUUUUUAUAGGCAGUGUUUUUUUUUUUUUUUGGGUCAUUUAGUUUGAUGCUUGACAAUCGUAUGAUAUGAUAGUGUUUCCAAGAACUCUUCGAUGAUAUAUUAUAUUAUAUAUAUCCCAUUGGAGUUGAACUCUUCGAUGAUAUAUAUGGCUUUGAUGAAUUAGCAUUUCUGUAUGAUCUAUUUCCAUCAAGCGCCUAGGCAUAUUUCCGAUGUAUUGCUGCUUAUUUUGAAUAUUUCUGUUAAUGAGUUUCCUUUACUCAACCAUUUUAAGCUUAGAUAACUUCCAAAAUAAAGUUGUAUUUGUAGUUAAGAAGAAUAGCCUAUAUCCAUUAUACCUGUAAUCGUUGCCUGUUCACCUCACAUUUCUUUAGACUGUAUCUGUUUAUCCGUAAAUGAUAGUUUCUGAUGCUCAUCAUUUAUGUUUUCUGCUUGUCCUCUACGCAGGUAUCCUGGGAUGCCAGGGGAGGACUUUUUAAAAGCUUGCCCUGUAUGUCGUAACGUUUGCAACUGCAUAGCAUGUUUGCGGUUAGAUGGAUUAGCGAAACAUUUUUUGAAUGUCGAGGUGAAGUUCAGCAAUGAAGAAAAUCUCGAGUACUCUAAGCACAUUGUACGAGCACUUUUGCCUGCUCUGGAACAAUUUAAUACCGAGCAAAUGAUUGAAAAGCAGAUUGAGUAACAGAUUCAAGAUUCAGACGUUAAUAUAAAGAAAGCAGAAUACGAGAAGGAGGAGUGCAUUUAUUGCAACUAUUGCAGUGCUUUUAUUGUUGAUUUUCACCGGAGUUGUUCAAGAUGGUCGUAUGAACUUUGCCUUACUUGUUGCAAAGAAUUAAGGAAUGGCAAACUGCAAGCAGAUGCAUCCGAAGUGCGGAUGCAAUAUAUUAACAAUGGACCAGAUUAUUUGCAUGGUAAAGGUUGUAGCAUAAUUUCAGUCAAUAAUGAAACCACUGAAGCCAAGGUGGCAAUGACAUCUAAAUGGAAGUCCAUGGAAAGUGGUGCCAUUCGUUGCCCUCCUAAAGAUAUGGGAGGCUGUAGUAAAGGAACGUUACAUUUGAGAUGUAUAUUUUCUGAGAAUUGGAUAUCACAGCUGUUACUGAAAGCAAAAGAAAUAGCACAAAAAUGUAAGCUGAAGGAAAUGCAUCAUGAUUCAGAACUGCACUACUCCUGUUCAAAGUCUAAGGAUGAUAACGGUGUUUCUGGUGGCAAGCUACGUAAGGCAGCUGCUCGGGAAAAUUCUGAUGAUAACUAUGUAUUCUGUCCAGCAGCUGUGGAUACUCGGCGCGCAAAUUUGAGGCAUUUUCGGCUCUACUUAUCUAAGGGUGAACCAGUUGUUGUAACUAACGUUCAUGACAACGCACUGGGAUUGAGCUGGGAGCCUAUGGUAAUGUGGCGUGCCUGUCGACAAACCGAGGUUUAGCAAGCUUUGGGUACAAGUUUUGUUUUGAAAGAGCGGCGUCGGCUGAGAUAGUCGAACCACAUAUGUGCGAGCUAAUUAUUGUAGGUACCCUGGAAUGACACAGGAGGUCUUUAGAGAAGCUUGCGCUGUAUGUCGUAACCUUUGCAACUGCGUAUAUUGUCUACGGCUAAAUGGGCCAGCGAAAAAGUGAAGUUCAGUGAUGACGAAAGACUCGAGUACUCUAAACACAUUGUACGAGCACUUUUGCCUGCUUUGGAACAAUUUAAUGCGGAGCAAAUGAUUGAAUAUCAGAUACAAGAUUCAGAGGUUAAGAUACACAAAGCAGAAUAUGACGACUGGAUAUUACAGUUGCUAGUGAAAGCUCAAGACCUAGCAACCAAAUAUAAAUUGAAGGAAAUGCAUAAGGCAGAAGCUGGGGAUGCUUGGAGUGCAGAUCUGCGGCGUUUUCAGCUCUCUUUAGCGAAGGGUGAACCAGUUGUUGUGACAGAUUUUCUGGAUAAUCCACUGAGAUUGAGCUGGGAACGAAUGGUCAUGUGGCGUGCUUGUCGAGAUACGAAGAGCACGAGGUUUUAAAAUGCUUAAAUUGGUGUAAAGUUUGUACAGUCAUCUUUUCUAAAUGAUAUGUAAUUAGGAAAUUGACUAUUUUAAUUGAGGCUUAGGUUCUGGCACAUUA